CAGUCGCCGCGGGAAUACGAAGGGUGCAAGCGUUACUCGGAAUUACUGGGCGUAAAGCGUGCGUAGGUGGUGGUUUAAGUCCGUUGUGAAAGCCCUGGGCUCAACCUGGGAAUUGCAGUGGAUACUGGGUCACUAGAGUGUGGUAGAGGAUAGUGAAAUUUCCGGUGUAGCAGUGAAAUGCGUAGAGAUCGGAAGGAACAUCUGUGGCGAAGGCGACUAUCUGGGCCAACACUGACACUGAGGCACGAAAGCGUGGGGAGCAAACAGGAUUAGAUACCCCCGUAGUCCCUGUCUCUUAUAC
rnacentral:rRNA from 1 species